AAACAGAUUGAAAAAGGGGAGAAAGUUGAUGUCUCAAAUCAAAAGCCAGGUAGAGUUGGCCGCAAGCGGAAAGAUUUGGAUCUGUCGAGGGUGGUGACAAUCCCAUUGAACAGAAGGAGAACAUUGCGAGGUCUGUCAAAGGCAUUGGGUGUAAGCUGCACGACCUUACACUCAAGGUUCGAGUGGGGUCAUUUGAGGCGUCACAGUAAUAAGUUGAGGCCCCACUUAAACCUAUCCAACAUUGUAAAGAGAUUGAAAUGGUGCUUGGCUAUGUGUGAAGAUUAUUGA
rnacentral:rRNA from 1 species